UACGGGGGGGGCAAGCGUUGUUCGGAAUUACUGGGCGUAAAGGGCGCGUAGGCGGCCUGCUAAGUCACACGUGAAAUCCCUCGGCUCAACCGGGGAACUGCGUGUGAUACUGGCGGGCUUGAAUUCGGGAGAGGGAUGUGGAAUUCCAGGUGUAGCGGUGAAAUGCGUAGAUAUCUGGAGGAACACCGGUGGCGAAGGCGGCAUCCUGGGACCGAGAUUGACGCUGAGGCGCGAAAGCUAGGGUAGCAAACGGG
rnacentral:rRNA from 1 species